rnacentral:lncRNA from 1 species
CCUCACCAGGGUUGAGCAGAAGGGAAGGAUCACAUCCUUGGCCUGCUGGCGGCACUAAGAAGAAUAAUUCUGAGACUGUAUCCUUAUCAGGGAAUUCUCUGAACUUCUUUCAUCAGGAAUGGCUGAAACAGUCCAGAGACCCCUGGCACCAGUCUGGCAUGUAGGCCAAAUCAUUUGGAUAGUUGCCCUACGGAGCAGAAAAGACCAUGUGUUUUGAGCUUUUGUGAUAUUUGUUGUUUCUUG